UUCAAGCAGGCGUGGUUGGCACGUGCUUUUGUUGUGUUGAAGCGGGGGUUUUAACACUACAGUUAAAAUAAUGUUCCACAGCAGGGUCACUAUUCCAUCGGAUUCUUCUCUGUCAAAAUGACCUUUUGCAUUACCGCCUCACGAACAACCAGACUGCCAGAGAAUAUUACUCCUCCGCUAGUAUAUUUAUAUUCCUCAGUUAAUCACUAGCGGCCUGUAUAACCGGAUAGCGAACACCAUCAGAACAUCAAAGCAGGUGCUGCUGUGACUGCUGGCUGUGGAAUCUGACCUGCUGCGAAGACUUGAAAUUCCAACCCUGGACUGAAAUAUGGCAGAAGAAAGAAGAAUAACUGGAUGUGCGGUCGCCCUAAAGGGCAACACACACACCCAUUGUUGAUGCCUGUCAGCUUGUCAGGAUAAGCCAUGGUCCUAUUUCCCAACGCCAACACAUGUCCGCUCUCCUGAAAAUCAGCAAUUUUAUCACAUUUACUUCCCAAAUAAGCACAUACUGGCCACUCUUCUUUAACCCAUUCUUGUUCUGUCAUUGUGCGUGGGCUAUGGGCAUCAAUUACAGUGACACAAUGCAUUAUUGUAAAUUGGUUUCUUGAAGGGAGUUUGUGAUAAAUCUGUAAACUUUUACAGUGCUUUAGUGUGAGGCCUGUUGAUUGUCUUCAUAACGGAUGGAGAAUUGACAUAGUUAAAAAAAAAAGCGAGUAAAAAUCAAUCAUCAGUCAGUUGAUCUGCUUAUAGAGGGGUUUUCCUAUUCAACUGGCUUGUCUGUUGCCACAAAAUGUCAAUUUUAACUUGGUUUACAAAGACUAAAAAUUCUUUAAACAUGGUCUGAUGCAGAGAAGGAAAUCUUUCAAAACAGGGUAUUUCACAGUUGUUAACAAGAGCCACUCCUUUAUUCAAACUUUGGUUGGUCUAGGAAAGGUAACACAAAGAGAGAUGGUGAGAGAGGUGUAGCAGGAGCAGUCAUAAAACAGGAACAGAAACUGUAAAGCCUGAAGAACAGGUUUGCUGAAUGAUAGUAUCGUCACAUCCUCUGCUGUUUUAAAUGUAAACAGAAACAGUCAUGCUAAGAAACCCUUGAGCUGUGAACUCAAACACGUGUAUAAUCAAAACAUGUUAUGAAGUAAUUUCUGUAGAUAUGUAACCUCUAAACUGACAGUCCUGUUGUUUUGGAUAUUGAUAUGAGAUGGAUUUAAUAAAAGGUAUGAUGCAAA